CCCUUCUCUUUCAGGUACUGAUAAAUCUCUAAUGUCUUUAAUAAAACAGAAAUGUGGCCUGGCCUUACCUUAUGCUGCAGCUUUCCUUUAAAAGAAUGACAAUAAUGAAGCUGAUGAUAUCACUAAUCUUGAUGAUAUUAUUGGUACGUUUAUACAGAUCACUGAGUUUCAAGAGUUCAA